AUGGAGAUGGUGGAGAAGCUUUCUCUCACCACAAGACCACAUCCACAUCCUUACUACAUCCAAUGGUUCAACAACAGCGGCAAGGUUAAGGUAACACGUACUGUUCGUGUGCAUUUUAGUAUCUCUACAUAUGCUGAUUAUGUUGAUUGUGAUGUGGUACCUAUGCAAGCAUGUUCCUUAUUACUUGGUAGACCAUGGCAAUUUGAUAAAAAUUCUGUACACCAUGGUAGAAACAAUCACUAUACUCUUGUUCAUAAGGAUAAAAAUAUUACUUUGCUUCCUAUGACUCCUGAUUCCAUUUUGAAAGAUGAUAUUAAUAGAGCUAAUAAAGCACAACAGGAGAAGAAUAAGAGUGAAAAUCAGAUUGUGGCAAAAGAAUUUGAACAACAAAUGAAGCCUAAUAAUAAACCAUCUAGUGUUGCUUCUGAAAUUAAAUUGAAAAGUGCAUGUUUAUUUGCCACCAAAUCUGAUAUUGAUGAGCUAGAUUUCAGCAAAUCUGUUUGCUAUGCUUUUGUGUGCAAAGAGGCAUUAUUUUCAUUCGAGGACGUGCCUUCCUCUUUGCCUCCUGCUGUCACUAACAUUUUGCAGGAGUUCGCUGACGUUUUUCCACAAGACGUGCCACCGGGAUUACCGCCUAUUCGAGGGAUUGAGCAUCAGAUGGACUUAAUUCCCGGUGCUUCACUGCCAAACCGUGCACCAUACCGUACCAAUCCAGAGGAGACGAAGGAGAUUAUGCGUCAAGUACAAGAGCUUCUCGACAAAGGUUAUAUACGCGAAUCCCUUAGUCCUUGUGCUGUUCCUAUUAUUCUAGUGCCGAAAAAGGAUGGUACAUCACAUAUGUGUGUUGAUUGUAGAGGCAUUAAUAAUAUUACUAUUCGUUAUCGUCAUCCUAUUCCUAGGCUAGAUGAUAUGCUUGAUGAAUUGAGUGGCUCUACAAUUUUCUCCAAAGUUGAUUUGCGUAGUGGCUACCAUCAAAUUCGUAUGAAAUUGGGAGAUGAAUGGAAAACAGCAUUUAAAACUAAGUUUGGAUUAUAUGAGUGGUUAGUCAUGCCUUUUGGGUUAACUAAUGCACCUAGUACUUUCAUGAGAUUAAUGAACGAAGUUUUACGUGUUUUCAUUGGACGAUUUGUGGUAGUUUACUUUGAUGACAUAUUGAUUUAUAGCAGAUCUUUGGAGGAACAUUUGGAACAUUUACGUGCUGUUUUUAUUGCUCUACGUGAUGCACGUUUGUUUGGUAACCUUGGGAAGUGCACCUUUUGCACCGACCGAGUAUCUUUUCUUGGCUAUGUUGUUACUCCACAGGGAAUUGAAGUUGAUAAAGCCAAGAUUGAAGCUAUUGAGAGUUGGCCGCAGCCCAAAACGGUCACACAAGUGAGGAGUUUUCUUGGCCUCGCUGGAUUCUAUAGGCGUUUUGUGAGAGAUUUCAGCACCAUUGCUCCACCUCUCAAUGAGCUUACAAAGAAAGAUGUGCCUUUUCUUUGGGGUACCGCACAGGAGAAGCCUUCACGGUAUUGA
rnacentral:rRNA from 1 species